rnacentral:rRNA from 1 species
GGAUUAGAUACCCUGGUAGUCCAUGCUGUAAACGAUGAUCACUCGCUGUUGGCGAUACACAGUCAGCGGCUAAGCGAAAGCGUUAAGUGAUCCACCUGGGGAGUACGAUCGCAAGGUUGAAACUCAAAGGAAUUGGCGGGGGUCCGCACAAGCGGUGGAGUAUGUGGUUUAAUUCGAUGAUAAGCGAGGAACCUUACCUGGGCUAAAUUCAUAGUGCUAUUUUCAGAGAUGAGAAGUUCCUUCGGGACGCUAUGGAAGGUGCUGCAUGGUUGUCGUCAGCUCGUGCCG